GGUGGGUCUUGGGUGACGCACCCCGAAAUCGUGCUCCCUCUUCUCUGGUUCUGGAUGCAUCACCUGAGAACUGCU
rfam:Myotis davidii contig130251, whole genome shotgun sequence.